rnacentral:rRNA from 1 species
GGGUAACCUACCCCGAAGACCGGGAUAACCCCGGGAAACCGGGGCUAAUACCGGAUACCUUCCCCUCGCCGCAUGGAGGGGGGAAGAAAGGUUGGCUUCGGCCUUCCGCUUCGGGAUGGGCCCGCGGCCCAUUAGCUAGUUGGUGGGGUAACGGCCCACCAAGGCGACGAUGGGUAGCCGGCCUGAGAGGGUGUCCGGCCACACUGGGACCGAGACACGGCCCAGACUCCUACGGGAGGCAGCAGUGAGGAAUAUUGCGCAAUGGGCGAAAGCCUGACGCAGCGACGCCGCGUGGGGGAUGAAGGCCUUCGGGUUGUAAACCCCUGUCAGGAGGGACGAAGCGGCUUCGUGCCGUGACGGUACCUCGGUAGGAAGCCCCGGCCAACUACGUGCCAGCAGCCGCGGUAAGACGUAGGGGGCGAGCGUUGUCCGGAAUUACUGGGCGUAAAGAGCUCGUAGGCGGCCUGUUAAGUCGGAUGUGAAAGCCCCCGGCUCAACCGGGGAAUUGCAUCCGAUACUGGCAGGCUAGAGUCUGGUAGAGGGAGGUGGAAUUCCCGGUGUAGCGGUGAAAUGCGCAGAUAUCGGGAGGAACACCGGUGGCGAAGGCGGCCUCCUGGGCCACGACUGACGCUGAGGAGCGAAAGCUGGGGGAGCGAACAGGAUUAGAUACCCUGGUAGUCCCAGCCGUAAACGAUGGGCACUAGGUGUGGGGGGUUACCAUACCCUCCGUGCCGAAGCUAACGCAUUAAGUGCCCCGCCUGGGGAGUACGGCCGCAAGGUUAAAACUCAA